UGGGGCUGCCUCCCCCACAGGCAGGCUCUGGCCCCUCCAACGGGGAAGACCUAUCCAUGUUGGAGGGAGUGGAAAGGAGGGGUGGAGCGGAUGGCUCAGGACAGAAGGUCUGCAUAGUCAGAGAGGCAGGAUCAGUAGGUGGGACUGGAAAGGGGAACCAGGGAUAGCAAAUAGUUUUCGUUUUGCGUAUGCAAUCUGACUCUGGGAGUGCAUGAAUGUGCUGAGAAGGAAUCCGGAGUUGUGCUCAGGCAUGAGUGUUGUGAUCAGUUAGCAGUGUCUGCUGUGGUUGUGGGAUAGGAGACUGGUGGCACAUAUGCCACAUAGUUGCCCCUUUGUUUUUUUCUGGCAAAGUGCUACUCAAUUUUGGUGCAGGGACCAGUGCUGAUCUGUAAGCUGUUUGAAACUCAUCUGGACAAGGGCAACUUGACCACCCGGAGGCUUCAGCUGUGGCAGAAGGUGCUAUUGUCCAGAGGGGACACAGGAAUACCCAGCUGGUGCAAGAGAGAGCAGGCAGAAGCCUGUCAUGGUGGAGGAACAUGACGACCUCCUCAGAGAAGAACAUCUAUGUUGGCAUCCAUGAUGGAUGACAACUGAAAGACCUGGUAUGGCGUCUCCCGUCACCAAUGCCAGAUGGUCAACGUUCCUGAGCCCCUCCUUCAUAGCCCACUAGUCCUACAUAACUGCCUUAAGAUUGUGUGCUUGUUUAAGAUGGUCUUUGGGACAUGAGUCGGCCAUCUUCCGAUUUUGCUGGCUAAUUGAAUAAAUCCUUUUCUCAACCACCAA